UGGGUCGGCAAGACGGUCGCGGCACCGCCUGAUUCAUCAGGCAGUGCCGAGGAACGUCCGGGCUCCACAGAGCAGGGUGGUGGGUAACACCCACCCGGGGUAACCCGCGAGACAGUGCAACAGAGAGUAAACCGCCUCCGGUUCGCCGGAGGUAAGGGUGAAACGGUGGUGUAAGAGACCACCAGCAGUUUGGGUGACCAGAUUGGCUAGGUAAACCUCGCCCGGAGCAAGGUCAGACAGAUAACGCUAUGGUUGCUCGCCUAGUUAUCGGGUAGACCGCUAGAGAGUUGUGGUAACGCACCUCCGAGAUAGAUGGCCGUCCACGAAGCGAAAGCUUCCGGACAGAACCCGGCGUAUUAGCUGGCCCAUUCG
rnacentral:RNase_P_RNA from 1 species